UGAGUAACACGUAUCCAACCUGCCGUCUACUCUUGGCCAGCCUUCUGAAAGGAAGAUUAAUCCAGGAUGGCAUCAUGAGUUCACAUGUCCGCAUGAUUAAAGGUAUUUUCCGGUAGACGAUGGGGAUGCGUUCCAUUAGAUAGUAGGCGGGGCAACGGCCCACCUAGUCAACGAUGGAUAGGGGUUCUGAGAGGAAGGUCCCCCACAUUGGAACUGAGACACGGUCCAA
rnacentral:rRNA from 1 species